rnacentral:rRNA from 1 species
AGUCUGCAACCCGACUCCAUGAAGCUGGAUUCGCUAGUAAUCGCGCAUCAGCCACGGCGCGGUGAAUACGUUCCCGGGCCUUGUACACACCGCCCGUCAAGCCAUGGAAGCCGGGAGUGCCUGAAGUGUGCAACCGCAAGGAGCGCCCUAAGGUAAAACUGGUGACUGGGGCUAAGUCGUAACAAGGUAAC